CAGCGGCCCUAGUGGUGAUCGUUAUUAUUGGGCCUAAAGCGUCCGUAGCCGGUUCGGUAAAUCUCUGGGUAAAUCGUUGGGCUUAACUCAACGAAUUCUGGGGAGACUGCCGAACUUGGGACCGGGAGAGGUCGGAGGUACUCCAGGGGUAGGGGUGAAAUCCUGUAAUCCUUGGGGGACCACCGGUGGCGAAAGCGUCCGACCAGAACGGGUCCGACGGUAAGGGACGAAGCCCUGGGGCGCGAACCGGAUUAGAGACCCGAGUAGUCC
rnacentral:rRNA from 1 species